UGGGGAAUUUUGGACAAUGGGCGAAAGCCUGAUCCAGCAAUGCCGCGUGUGUGAAGAAGGCCUUCGGGUUGUAAAGCACUUUUGUCCGGAAAGAAAUCCUUGGCUCUAAUACAGUCGGGGGAUGACGGUACCGGAAGAAUAAGCACCGGCUAACUACGUGCCAGCAGCCGCGGUAAUACGUAGGGUGCAAGCGUUAAUCGGAAUUACUGGGCGUAAAGCGUGCGCAGGCGGUUUGCUAAGACCGAUGUGAAAUCCCCGGGCUCAACCUGGGAACUGCAUUGGUGACUGGCAGGCUAGAGUAUGGCAGAGGGGGGUAGAAUUCCACGUGUAGCAGUGAAAUGCGUAGAGAUGUGGAGGAAUACCGAUGGCGAAGGCAGCCCCCUGGGUCAAUACUGACGCUCAUGCACGAAAGCGUGGGGAGCAAACAGGAUUAGAUACCCUGGUAGUCCACGCCCUAAACGAUGUCAACUAGUUGUUGGGGAUUCAUUUCCUUAGUAACGUAGCUAACGCGUGAAGUUGACCGCCUGGGGAGUACGGUCGCAAGAUUAAAACUCAAAUGAAUUGACGGGGU
rnacentral:rRNA from 1 species